rnacentral:rRNA from 1 species
AUGAACGCUGGCGGCGUGCUUAACACAUGCCAGUCGAACGGAAAGGCCCAAGCUUGCUUGGGUACUCGAGUGGCGAACGGGUGAGUAACACGUGGGUGAUCUGCCCUGCACUUCGGGAUAAGCCUGGGAAACUGGGUCUAAUACCGGAUAGGACCACUUCUUGGAUGUUGUGGUGGAAAGUUUUUUCGGUGUGGGAUGAGCUCGCGGCCUAUCAGCUUGUUGGUGGGGUAAUGGCCUACCAAGGCGUCGACGGGUAGCCGGCCUGAGAGGGUGUACGGCCACAUUGGGACUGAGAUACGGCCCAGACUCCUACGGGAGGCAGCAGUGGGGAAUAUUGCACAAUGGGCGCAAGCCUGAUGCAGCGACGCCGCGUGGGGGAUGACGGCCUUCGGGUUGUAAACUCCUUUCGCUAGGGACGAAGCGUUUUGUGACGGUACCUGGAGAAGAAGCACCGGCUAACUACGUG